GAGGAGGGGAAAGAGGCAAUACUUCCAGCCUCCAGGGAAAAUCUCUGUGCUUGCUGCCUUAUCACAGUGACUGGGAAUCCACCCUCAGAUGCACACACAAAGCUGUCAUUAACAGAAGCUUCACGUGCACCCCGGAAAGCAAAAUUGGGCACUCGGCUUCAAAGGAAACGGCUUCUUCCUUCACAAUACUUCAUCACUAAAUGGUUGUCUGGCAUGUUUGUUUUUUCAAAUGUCCACAUUUUAUUUGUCCAACUGAUUGUCUCUUUAUCAGCAGCAGCCAGGAC
rnacentral:lncRNA from 10 species